rnacentral:rRNA from 1 species
GAUGAACGCUAGCGGCAGGCCUAACACAUGCAAGUCGAGGGGGAAGUUACUUUCGGGUGACUGAGACCGGCGUACGGGUGCGUAACGCGUAUACAAUCUGCCUUUCACUGGGGGAUAGCCCGAAGAAAUUUGGAUUAAUACCCCAUAGUAUAUAGGGACGGCAUCGUUUUUAUAUUAAAGCUUAGGUGGUGAAAGAUGAGUAUGCGUUCUAUUAGCUAGUUGGAGAGGUAACGGCUCCCCAAGGCGAUGAUAGAUAGGGGUUCUGAGAGGGAUGUCCCCCACACUGGUACUGAGAUACGGACCAGACGCCUACGGGAGGCAGCAGUGAGGAAUAUUGGACAAUGGUCGGAAGACUGAUCCAGCCAUGCCGCGUGCAGGAUGAAGGUCUUAUGGAUUGUAAACUGCUUUUGGAAGGGAAGAAUAAGGGCUACGCGUAGUUUGAUGACGGUACCUGACGAAUAAGCAUCGGCUAACUCCGUG